rnacentral:rRNA from 1 species
GACGAACGCUGGCGGCGUGCCUAAUACAUGCAAGUCUAAGGGGUCUAUUCCCUUCGGGGAAUAGGUCACUGGCGCACGGGUGAGUAACGCGUAAGUCAUCUGCCCCUGGGUCUGGCAUAACGUCGGGAAACCGGCGCUAAUUCCAGAUGAUACCGCAAGGUCAAAGAAUUUCGCCCAGGGAUGAGCUUGCGUCUGAUUAG